CCUACGGGUGGCAGCAGUCGAGAAUCAUUCACAAUGGGGGAAACCCUGAUGGUGCGACGCCGCGUGGGGGAAUGAAGGUCUUCGGAUUGUAAACCCCUGUCAUGUGGGAGCAAAUUAAAAAGAUAGUACCACAAGAGGAAGAGACGGCUAACUCUGUGCCAGCAGCCGCGGUAAUACGGAGGUCUCAAGCGUUGUUCGGAAUCACUGGGCGUAAAGCGUGCGUAGGCUGUUUCGUAAGUCGUGUGUGAAAGGCGCGGGCUCAACCCGCGGACGGCACAUGAUACUGCGAGACUAGAGUAGUGGAGGGGGAACCGGAAUUCUCGGUGUAGCAGUGAAAUGCGUAGAUAUCGAGAGGAACACUCGUGGCGAAGGCGGGUUCCUGGACAUUAACUGACGCUGAGGCACGAAGGCCAGGGGAGCGAAAGGGAUUAGAUACCCCUGUAGUC
rnacentral:rRNA from 1 species